rnacentral:rRNA from 1 species
ACGCUGGCGGCGUGCCUAAUACAUGCAAGUAGAACGCUGAAGGAGGAGCUUGCUUCUCUGGAUGAGUUGCGAACGGGUGAGUAACGCGUAGGUAACCUGCCUGGUAGCGGGGGAUAACUAUUGGAAACGAUAGCUAAUACCGCAUAAGAGUAGAUGUUGCAUGACAUUUGCUUAAAAGGUGCAAUUGCAUCACUACCAGAUGGACCUGCGUUGUAUUAGCUAGUUGGUGGGGUAACGGCUCACCAAGGCGACGAUACAUAGCCGACCUGAGAGGGUGAUCGGCCACACUGGGACUGAGACACGGCCCAAACUCCUACGGGAGGCAGCAGUAGGGAAUCUUCGGCAAUGGACGGAAGUCUGACCGAGCAACGCCGCGUGAGUGAAGAAGGUUUUCGGAUCGUAAAGCUCUGUUGUAAGAGAAGAACGAGUGUGAGAGUGGAAAGUUCACACUGUGACGGUAUCUUACCAGAAAGGGACGGCUAACUACGUGCCAGCAGCCGCGGUAAUACGUAGGUCCCGAGCGUUGUCCGGAUUUAUUGGGCGUAAAGCGAGCGCAGGCGGUUAGAUAAGUCUGAAGUUAAAGGCUGUGGCUUAACCAUAGUACGCUUUGGAAACUGUUUAACUUGAGUGCAAGAGGGGAGAGUGGAAUUCCAUGUGUAGCGGUGAAAUGCGUAGUUAUAUGGAGGAACACCGGUGGCGAAAGCGGCUCUCUGGCUUGUAACUGACGCUGAGGCUCGAAAGCGUGGGGAGCAAACAGGAUUAGAUACCCUGGUAGUCCACGCCGUAAACGAUGAGUGCUAGGUGUUAGACCCUUUCCGGGGUUUAGUGCCGUAGCUAACGCAUUAAGCACUCCGCCUGGGGAGUACGACCGCAAGGUUGAAACUCAAAGGAAUUGACGGGGGCCCGCACAAGCGGU